CUAGAGAUAGAAAGUUACUUCGGUACAUCGGUGACAGGUGGUGCAUGGUUGUCGUCAGCUCGUGUCGUGAGAUGUUGGGUUAAGUCCCGCAACGAGCGCAACCCCUAUUGUUAGUUGCCAUCAUUCAGUUGGGCACUCUAGCGAGACUGCCGGUAAUAAACCGGAGGAAGGUGGGAUGACGUCAAAUCAUCAUGCCCCUUAUGACCUGGGCUACACACGUGCUACAAUGGUUGGUACAACGAGUUGCGAGUCGGUGACGGCGAGCUAAUCUCUUAAAGCCAAUCUCAGUUCGGAUUGUAGGCUGCAACUCGCCUACAUGAAGUCGGAAUCGCUAGUAAUCGCGGAUCAGCACGCCGCGGUGAAUACGUUCCCGGGCCUU
rnacentral:rRNA from 1 species